AAACUUUCAACAACGGAUCUCUUGGUUCUGGCAUCGAUGAAGAACGCAGCGAAAUGCGAUAAGUAAUGUGAAUUGCAGAAUUUAGUGAAUCAUCGAAUCUUUGAACGCACAUUGCGCCCGCCGGUAUUCCGGCGGGCAUGCCUGUCCGAGCGUCAUU
rnacentral:rRNA from 1 species